UCACCUAUGACUCACCUGUGGCUGAAAACACUUUAACCAGCUCAGUGUCUCUGAAAGUAGCCAAUGAAACCCUGUGCUGUCCCACUAACAUUACCUACUAUCCAGAGCCCGAGUUUACUGGAUUCACAUCCAUAAGGAUGGCGCACUGUGUGUACAUCGUAAUAGAGAAAACGGCAGACAAACUGCAGAUGACAGCAGAGGAGUUGUCAGGAUGGGGCGUUCAGGCAGAAACGCAGUACGCCUGCAUCAUGAAGACCAAAGAUACCAAAGUACAUUUUCCUCUGUCAUAUUCAAAGCUCACCGGGAUGCGGAAUUUCAGCACUUAAUGUGAAAGCUGUGGCUGAGAGCAGAGAGACGAUUCAGGCCUAAUGGAGCUGGAACUUCGGCGUGGGCCAGAGACAGGCGGCUCACCUGUCCGGAGCAAUCCAGAGGGAAAAUGGCGGACGCGGAGGCAGGACGGACGAAGCUUCGCUCAUCGGCUCUACAUUUAUGUGUGUGUGUGUCUGUGUGUUGGAGGUGCAGGCUUUUGUCUUUAGCUCGGUUGAGAUGCGCUUUGUAACCAGUGUAGCCGCUUUGGAGUUCGGGACUGGCCAAGUGUUGGCACGGUUUAGUUGUGGAUGGAUUCAGUGUGUGGAAGGCAGGCGGGUCGGCGUAGUUUUGGAGCGCGCGUUUGCUUUUGUUGGGCCGUUUCGUCAGUGUUGUCGGUCUGUGGAAACAUAUAUGCAGUUGUGAUCCGGACACAGCUGUGUAUAUGUGGAAGCCUAUAGGCAGAUGGUGUUGGCAG